rnacentral:sRNA from 1 species
ACUCAACACUAACAAUUUAGAAUGAGCAAAUCGGUAUUACUACAGCAUGCUGCCUUUGUCGCAGAUCCUGGAACAAUACGCUAGCUCAAAACUUGUCUUUACGAGUUU